GAGGAGCAAGCCAGUCAGCAGUAUUCCCCUGUGGCCACUGCAUCAGCUCCUGCCUCCAGGUUGCUAGGCUGUGAGAGCUCAAGUCAAAGUCAAUCCUAUGAUGAGUCAGACUGACAAGUUCUGCUAGAGGGAGAGAAAGAUGGCUCGAGAGCAGCUCAGCUCCCUGGAGAUGAACAGAGGGUUUGCUGCUGGAAGUAAUGCUUGGUGGCUAUUUGUCUGCUGUAGCCACAUUACAGGAUGAGAUGUUCUCAAGAAUAAUUCCUAGUGAUCCUGCUGCUGCUCAUGAGAUCUUUGCCAACAAGAGAGGUGAACUGUGCAGCACAUAUCUCAUUUCCAGUCUGAUAAAUCAUCUAUCAAGAUAGGACCCCAGUCGAGUGUUUAAUUGUGCAUCAGGUUUAGGUGACAGAACUUUGAUAUGACAAAGAGGGGAUGGAGGAGAUAGCUUCCUUCUCUCCCCUAAGAACUAUGAUGUUGUGAAUGAGGACAUCUGGUGCGCUUGUCCAUGUCUAUGUCUUGGGCGAUAGAAGAGUCCGGUCGCUGCUGUGAACCAGAUGAUACUGCAUAUCAGCAUCUGGGCUUUGAUCAUCCUGGAGAAAACUUGACUCUUCCUGAUGUAUUUGCGAGUAGACGUCCCAGUAUCCUCCAUCAGCCUUUAGAUGUGGAUUGUCAGGAGAGAUGCUUGAUGGCUUUUGUUCCUCUUUAAAAGAAUUUCAUUGUGGAUUGGCAUAUAAUAUUUGUAUACACUUAUGUGGUAAAAUGUGAUGGUUCUAAUUGGUACAUAAUACUGGGAAGUAUCAACACAACAUAGUUAUCCCAUUUUUCACUUUAGACUGUCAUCAUUUCCUUAUUGUCAGAACCUCAAAAAGCCCAUAUUUAACCAUUUGUAGAUACACAAUGCAUUGUGGCUAAUUAUAUCCUCCUGACUGUGGUAGGGCUCACCAGAACCUACCCUACCUAACUAACAGUAACAUGAGCCAGCUCUGUCUCCCAAGUUCCUCUCUGCCCCAUCUCUGGGAGCCACUACACUGCUCUAAACUUCUUUGAAGUCUUACAUGUGAAUGGACUUGGGUAGUGUUUGCCUGUAUGAACAUGAAUGACUUCAAUCCCCUUAAUGGCCUCUGACUGUUUGCAUUAUGUUGCAAAUCACAAAAUGUCAUUCUAUUUAUAGCUGAAGAAUAUUCCAUAGCAUAUUCACCCAUUAUACUGGUUUCUACCUAUUUAUGCAUGGUGAACAUUUAGGAUAAUUCCAUUUCCUGCAUAUUUUUGUAUAGUAAAUAAGGGUAGAAGUACAGACGUCUUUUGAUUUGGUGAGUUCAUUUUCUUUUAUACAUUCCCAGUGGUAGAAUUGUUGGUUCAUAUGAUAGCUUUGAUUUUAUGGGUUUGUUUAAGGACUUUUGCUUUGAAAUAGUUGUAGACUACUCUUCUCCAAGAGCCAAAGAACACUUAACCACAGCACCAAUACCAGACAUGAGGAGCCAUGCAUUUGAAGAAGGGAUAGGAAGGCUAUAUGGGAGGUUUUGGAGGGCGGAAAGAGAAGGGAGAAAUGUUGUAAUUAUAUUAUAAUCUAAAAAAAUAAAGUUAAU
ensembl:lincRNA Gm17751 predicted gene, 17751